rnacentral:rRNA from 1 species
CGGGACGGGUGAGUAACGCGUGGGUAACCUGCCUCAUACAGGGGGAUAACAGUUAGAAAUGACUGCUAAUACCGCAUAAGCGCACGGGACUGCAUGGUCCAGUGUGAAAAACUCCGGUGGUAUGAGAUGGACCCGCGUCUGAUUAGCUAGUUGGUGGGGUAAGGGCUCACCAAGGCGACGAUCAGUAGCCGGCCUGAGAGGGUGACCGGCCACAUUGGGACUGAGACACGGCCCAAACUCCUACGGGAGGCAGCAG